GUGGAAAUGUCACCCUCUUGGUCUCUGUGACAGGAAGUGACACCAUUAAAGUCAACGAAGUCACUCUUUAUGAUGGCUCAAAACCAACAGAGGUCAAAGGAUCUUUCCAGUCAGUUGGUGAUGAUGACUACCUGGUGACAUUUACGGCACUUGCAGCUGGUGAUUUUGUGCUUGUUCUGAAAGGAGAAGAAAGCAGCUCCACAUCCCCUUCAACUCCUGGCAGCUUCCAGCGACAGGCUUCCACAAAACUCAAGACCUCCAACAUCUCUGUCUCAGUGAGAGCAUUCACAGCUUAUCUUCUCUCUCAAUGAAGGACUCGCCACUUCAUCAUUUACUACGCUCAAGACACUUUUUUUCAAACCAGUGAACUAAUAUUACAUUUAUAUGAACACAUCUUAUUACUUUCUACUUCACUGGAACGCUCUCCCUUGCACCUGAGAUAAGUGGACUCUGUGGUCUCCUUUAAGAAGCAGCUAAUAACUGAUGUGUUCAGACUUUUGCGUGACCUUCAGUUCAUUCUUCAUCACUAGCCUCUCCUCAUCUAGCUCUUUCUACCAAUUCUGGCUUUCCCAAAAUCCACGGAUUACAUUUUUUAAAUUCAUUUUCUUUUAGCCUUUUCUCACAUUUUUUAACCACAAUUUUAACUUUUCUAAUUUUGUGAAUUUUUUAUUAAUAAAAAUGUUUUUUUUACUUUUAAUAUUUUGUUCUUGUGAAGCACCUCGUAAUCUGUACGUUGAGAGCUGCUAUAUAAAAGAUAAUUUCUUCUUUUUUUUACUUAUAAAUUUGUUCAUUUUUUUAUAUCCUAAAUUUAACAAUUUAAAAUUCUUACUGAGAUUAAAAACUAUCAAAUGUUGCACCAUAGGUUUCUUUUACACAUGAAGCUUUUUACGUGUGAAACUUUUUUUUAAGUCUUGGUUUUUCUGGCCUAUUUUUGUUUUUACUGAACUCCCUUCUAUGCUAUGUAACAAUGCACAUUAACAUUCCCAAAGAUGUUAAUGAAGACUCUACAAAAACUUUAUUUUUGAGUUUAAAUUUCCCUACUUCUCUCUCAACUCUUUUCCAGGCCCAAGCCAAUGUUAGUGACAUAGAACCUGGCUCUACCAUUUCCAUCCCUUUCACAGUUGCCAUGACUACCAAUGGAGUUGUCAGUGAUUCUGCAGCAGAAACAUUAACAGUUAGAGCCAACAACGACCGUAGCUACGCUUCCACCGCACCAAACACCAUCAUUGUUGGUCCGGGCACUGGAGGCAAAGCUAACAGCGUUGUGGCCUUAACAGUUCCAGCCAGCGCUGCAUCGGGAACAGAUGUUACACUAAUUAUCGAGGCACAGAAUGCAGCCGGGACUGACAUCAACUACACCAUCCUCAGGUUCUCAGUGGUUGCCAAGGUGGGUGUGUCUGGAGAGCAGCUGUUGUUGAUCUCCUCAUCAGUGGUCAGGGGAUUUAAGGAGUGUCGGGACAACACAUCAGCGCUGGAUGAUUACUCAGUAUUGGGUACCUUCCAUUCAUCUGCCAACUUCCACCACCAAGCAAGAGACUCACCGGAUCAUCCUGCUUACCAGCCCGUCAAUCGCCCCUGA
rnacentral:lncRNA from 1 species